rnacentral:misc_RNA from 1 species
AGACAACUCAACUUUUUAUCAAAAUCAAUCUCUUCAGGUUGCAAUAAGGUGUCAUCAAUAAUAUCAGCUGGUGCUACAGGUAGUGAAUUACAGACCCAACUCCUCAUGUUCAAAUUUUCUUGAAACAUUUCAUCGUAUGGCCUUUUCCUUGUGAAAGUUUCCAUGAGCAUAAUGCCGUAACUGUACACAUCACAUCUUCUAGAAACUAAUCCAACUGAUCCAUACUCUGAUUCAGUAUUACCAGAGUAAUUAGUUUCUUGAUGAGCCAGAUAA